CCGCAUAGCUUUGGUCAAGCCUGAUAAAGCAAGAGGAGUGGAGGAUGUUCUGCUGAGAGCUGCACAAACUGGUGGAAUGUCUGAAAAGGUGUCUGAAGAAAGGCUUAUCUCACUUCUGAAGCAAAUCAACACCCACA